UCUUAUAUAUUAACUUAAUUACCUGUUUCUAAUGUGCAAUCUGCUGAAUUUUAUUGGCAGGGUAUAUCACAACUUUUAAUGAGCCACAUCUUGCACCAGGCCACACUUUGAAAAAGAAAGAAGGGAGUGGACUUACUCUCUUAACAGAGAGAGCUCGAUGGCUGGAUGAAAUUUCAAAUUUCCAUUUGCAAAUCAGCAGUUUCUAAGCAUAGAGAAAAACGUAAAAUACAACAGUUGAAAGGAUACAAAGAAACAUAGAAUAUACAAUGUUGGUGGAAGAGAAGAUUGGCACAACCACUCUGGAGAAGGUAUAGAAUAAAUUUCCCUUACAUUCUACAAAGCAAUUU
rnacentral:lncRNA from 1 species